AGCGGCGGAUGGGUGAGUAACACGUGGGGAACCUGCCCCUAAGUCUGGGAUACCAUUUGGAAACAGGUGCUAAUACCGGAUAAUAAAGCAGAUCGCAUGAUCAGCUUUUGAAAGGCGGCGUAAGCUGUCGCUAAGGGAUGGCCCCGCGGUGCAUUAGCUAGUUGCUAAGGUAACGGCUUACCAAGGCGACGAUGCAUAGCCGAGUUGAGAGACUGAUCGGCCACAUUGGGACUGAGACACGGCCCAAACUCCUACGGGAGGCAGCAGUAGGGAAUCUUCCGCAAUGGACGCAAGUCUGAUGGAGCAACGCCGCGUGAGUGAAGAAGGUUUUCGGAUCGUAAAGCUCUGUUGUUGGUGAAGAAGGAUAGAGUAGUAACUGGCCUUUAUUUGACGGUAAUCAACCAGAAAGUCACGGCUAACUACGUGCCAGCAGCCGCGGUAAUACGUAGGUGGCAAGCGUUGUCCGGAUUUAUUGGGCGUAAAGCGAGCGCAGGCGGAAAAAUAAGUCUAAUGUGAAAGCCCUCGGCUUAACCGAGGAACUGUAUCGGAAACUGUUUUUCUUGAGUGCAGAAGAGGAGAGUGGAACUCCAUGUGUAGCGGUGGAAUGCGUAGAUAUAUGGAAGAACACCAGUGGCGAAGGCGGCUCUCUGGUCUGCAACUGACGCUGAGGCUCGAAAGCAUGGGUAGCGAACAGGAUUAGAUACCCUGGUAGUCCAUGCCGUAAACGAUGAGUGCUAAGUGU
rnacentral:rRNA from 1 species